GAACGGGUGAGUAACACGUGAGCAACCUGCCCCUGACUCUGGGAUAAGCGCUGGAAACGGCGUCUAAUACUGGAUAUGUGACGUGAUCGCAUGGUCUGCGUCUGGAAAGAAUUUCGGUUGGGGAUGGGCUCGCGGCCUAUCAGCUUGUUGGUGAGGUAAUGGCUCACCAAGGCGUCGACGGGUAGCCGGCCUGAGAGGGUGACCGGCCACACUGGGACUGAGACACGGCCCAGACUCCUACGGGAGGCAGCAGUGGGGAAUAUUGCACAAUGGGCGCAAGCCUGAUGCAGCAACGCCGCGUGAGGGACGACGGCCUUCGGGUUGUAAACCUCUUUUAGCAGGGAAGAAGCGAAAGUGACGGUACCUGCAGAAAAAGCGCCGGCUAACUACGUGCCAGCAGCCGCGGUAAUACGUAGGGCGCAAGCGUUAUCCGGAAUUAUUGGGCGUAAAGAGCUCGUAGGCGGUUUGUCGCGUCUGCUGUGAAAUCCGGAGGCUCAACCUCCGGCCUGCAGUGGGUACGGGCAGACUAGAGUGCGGUAGGGGAGAUUGGAAUUCCUGGUGUAGCGGUGGAAUGCGCAGAUAUCAGGAGGAACACCGAUGGCGAAGGCAGAUCUCUGGGCCGUAACUGACGCUGAGGAGCGAAAGGGUGGGGAGCAAACAGGCUUAGAUACCCUGGUAGUCCACCCCGUAAACGUUGGGAACUAGUUGUGGGGUCCAUUCCACGGAUUCCGUGACGCAGCUAACGCAUUAAGUUCCCCGCCUGGGGAGUACGGCCGCAAGGCUAAAACUCAAAGGAAUUGACGGGGACCCGCACAAGCGGCGGAGCAUGCGGAUUAAUUCGAUGCAACGCGAAGAACCUUACCAAGGCUUGACAUAUACGAGAACGGGCCAGAAAUGGUCAACUCUUUGGACACUCGUAAACAGGUGGUGCAUGGUUGUCGUCAGCUCGUGUCGUGAGAUGUUGGGUUAAGUCCCGCAACGAGCGCAACCCUCGUUCUAUGUUGCCAGCACGUAAUGGUGGGAACUCAUGGGAUACUGCCGGGGUCAACUCGGAGGAAGGUGGGGAUGACGUCAAAUCAUCAUGCCCCUUAUGUCUUGGGCUUCACGCAUGCUACAAUGGCCGGUACAAAGGGCUGCAAUACCGCGAGGUGGAGCGAAUCCCAAAAAGCCGGUCCCAGUUCGGAUUGAGGUCUGCAACUCGACCUCAUGAAGUCGGAGUCGCUAGUAAUCGCAGAUCAGCAACGCUGCGGUGAAUACGUUCCCGGGUCUUGUACACACCGCCCGUCAAGUCAUGAAAGUCGGUAACACCUGAAGCCGGUGGCCUAA
rnacentral:rRNA from 1 species